rnacentral:rRNA from 1 species
AUGACGCCAGACAGCCACCUCCUCCUGCGCGAGUCCAUCUACACGCAUCGGGCGCCGAGUCUCCGAUGUGCCACGCCGCCGAGAUCUGUUGUCUUUGAUGCGGAGGAGGAAACACCGCUCCACCUCUGGGCGCAUCGCCGACCACCUGCCGCGAUGUCGUGCAAGUCCAGCUCUGGGAAAGCACGCAUGGAAUCACGAUCUUCAAGACGACGCCCUCAGGAGGGGAAGCGGCCUCACGCCAUCGUCUGGUCCUGCGCCGCAGGUCCUGGGCUUUCAUCCGAAGAAAGUGACCCGAGAGCGGAGGAGGUCGGAGAACUCCACAACGACCCCCAGGAGGAGAGCGACAUCCGCAGACACCGCGCCGUCUGCUUUCGCCCGGAGCAACCCUACCUCUGCUUUCGCCCGGAGCAACCCUACCUCUACACCCUCACUGAAUCAGCUGGCAUUACUUCAAUGGUUAACUGUAAGAAGAAAACUGAAGAAAUGAGAUAG